UCCACUUGGACUUGAGCUCUGGGCAAAGUGAUAAAUAUGGAUAUAGCUCCAUUCUUCUACAUACUGACCGCCAGUUAGAACAGCAUUGCCUGAAGAUGCUUCCUCCUUCCACUCUGUUUUUGCCUUCUUUGUCAAAGAUCAAGUGUCCAUAGGUGUGUGGGUUUACAUCUCGGUCUUGGAUUCUAUUUCAAUUAUCGACCUGUCAGUCUCUAUAACAAAUACCAUGCAGUUUUUAGACACCUGACUAAUUCUACCUCUGCCUCCCCUCCCACUGUACACACUGGGAUUACAAAUGUGUGUCACCAUGUGCAGCUGCUUCCGGGUGCGUUCCAAACUCGGGUGGUCAGGCUUGUGUGAUACGUUUCGGUUGGGACUUAGUUUUUCUCUCCUUUUGGUUUUUGUUAUUGUUGUUUUGUUUUGCUUUGCUUUGUUUUGUUUUACCAGCUGAGCCCAAAGUUAAAAGCAACUUAACUGUGUUUCUCAUGAUAGUGGCUUCCGAGAGAUUUCACUAAGCACUUACACAGUCACUGUGACACUAUCUGCACCAGAUAGAGAACAAGCCAGGCAUUGUGACCCUCAUCUACAAUCCCAGCAGGAAGAUCAAGAAUUCAAGGUCAUUCCCGGCUGUGUGCACGUUUGAUUUCAGAUGGAGUUACAUAAGACUCUGGUUUAAAAAUCAGACAAGAAAUGGGGAAAGACAGGAAGGUGCAAGAGGGGAGGGUUGAGGAGGCCAAGAAUAUUGGGGCUAUAAAUGAGAGAAUUAUGUCUAAACCUCAUCCUGUUUAACUCGUUUUUCUUUGCUGUUUGACAGGUUUGACCAAAACUCACUGCAAACUAAUGAGUUUAUAAAUACUUAUGAGUGCUGUUACAGUAUCUUAAAAUCCCUAAGAGUCUUUCCUAGGACAAGCGUGCUUAGUCAUUUUGUUUAUAGUGUAAAUAUGCCUAGCAAACUCUUUCGGUAAUUCACAGGUAAGUUUCAAAACACAUAUUUUUCCCUUUUGCUGUGCAGUAUGCAAACCUAUGAACAAAAAUGGGAUACGAUUAAUAUAUUUCCAUUUAAAAUAAAGCUUCAGAAAACCUGCUGGCAAUUGUUUCUAUUUUUCUUUAUUGUCCAGGCACCUGUAGUUAGUAUGCCUUGCCUCAUUAGGAAAAGUAAUUGGAAUAUGGCUGUUUAAAAAGCUAAUGCAUCAUUUUAACAGGUUUAUCCUUUUUUUAACCCCAGUAAAAGCUUGAAAAAAAUAGACACGCCAUGAGAAUGCAAUCUGGGGAAGCAGAUUUUGAGAAAGUAUUAGAAGUCUCAAUACAGACACACACCUGUCAUCUAAGAAAGGUCUCCUUAUGUAGCCAGGACACAUGGAACAACUGGAGACCCUCCUGCCUCUGCCUCCCAAAUGCUGGAUUACAGGUGAGCAUCAUUGUGCCUGGCUCAUUUUCCUCGUACUGUACUCUAGAGCAGUUACCACUCAUAAACAAUGUGCGGUCACCAGCAAGGUUUCCUGACCCAAGAUCACAGACACUCACCCCUCAGUUUUCUCCUGAGUCCUAGUGUUUUAAUUGUGGUUUUCCUCUAUGAUCCGUUUUUAAUUAAUUCUCCCAUGUGGUGCACUGAGAGUCCAACCUCAUUCCUUCACAGGAUGCUCCGUUUUCCCAGCACCACUGGCUGGCAGGACCACCAGUUCUUUCCCUGUUGCAUUAUUUGCACAUUUGAGUGAUGAGUCGAUGAGGUUGGAAGUAGAAUGCCGGUGGCAGAACACUGGCCUUGUCUGCUCGAGACCCUGGGUUCAAUCCCAGCCCGUUGGAAAAAAGAACUCAUCAAAAUAUAAAUGGUUAUUUGUGGACCCUCAA
rnacentral:sRNA from 1 species